rnacentral:rRNA from 1 species
UUAAAUUGAAGAGUUUGAUCAUGGCUCAGAUUGAACGCUGGCGGCAGGCCUAACACAUGCAAGUCGAGCGGUAGCACAGAGAGCUUGCUCUCGGGUGAC